rnacentral:misc_RNA from 1 species
GCUUGAGGUAUCGAUUUUUCUCUCUUCAUGACACAAGCCUUUUGACUGUUCUUGAAUAUUUUUGUUAUUACUUAUUUAAAUAUUUUGCAUUUUGCUUUCUUGGAUUCUAUUAUUAUUCUUAUCUGCCUUUAGCUAACUGUAAUUUUAUUUUUGAUGACACUACUAAGCACAAACAUGGAAUGGAUCUUAUAUUAGGAUGAUCGUAGACACAUAUAACUUUCUGGUAAAUUAUACUGACUGUCACUCAACUUUGAGGAUUGUUUCAUUUCAGUAAAUCAAUUUCAAAUUGUUAAAAUAAUAUCUCUCAACCUUAUUUUUUGUUAAAAAAAAAGCCACCAUGACUUGCUAUAAUAGAUUAUCCUGUUGUCAAACUAAAAUUACCUUUCUCCCUUUUCUCCCUUCUAUUUUUCUAUCUCUAUCUCUAUCUCUUCUCUAUUUCUUUGAAUCA